AUGAAACUGAAUGAAGAGUCCCAGGAAAAUGCUGGAGAUGCUGAAAAAUUGGCAGCAGAGGAAGACAAAGACUUACAAUUAAAAAUUGAAUCACAGAACAAAAUAUUUGACUCAACAACUAGUGAAGCUGAAGGAACAGAAGAGAACAUCAAUGAUGUUAGUGUGACAUUAGUCAGAGAAGUUGAAGUUAUUGGAGAUACAGGUACAGUGGAGAGUAAUAUGACUACGGAGUCAGAUUUUCUUCAUACUUCUCCUGAUGCACACAUCGAAGCAUUGAAAAUAUCUGAAAAUGCUGAGAAAGAAGUUUCAGGAGAAACAGACACAAUUCUUAAACAAAGUGACAUCAGCAUCAUUCCUAAAGAUUCUCACAGAGAAGAGGCACACUCAAAAUCAAGUCCAGUUAUUCAUAAGAGGAAAAUGGGCUCAACUCGUAGACCUCUCAAAGGGAAUAAAGGACAAAGACAAGAACAUAAUGAGAAAGAAAUCUUCAGCUUGGAGGAUGAACCCAGUCCAGAUAAAUCUAGGUAUAUUGCAGUGAGUAUCUGUGACAUUUCAGAAUCACAAACCCUCCCAAAAACUCAUGCAGGGUCCCAGGAAAAUACUGGAGAUGUUGAAAUAGUGCCAGCAGAGGGAGACACAGAACGACACUUAGAAAACAAAACAUUUGACUCAACAGCAUUUGAAGAAGAAUCAGCAGAAGAGAACAUCUGUGAAGCUAGUGUUUUAGUCAAAGAAGUUGAGUUUAUUCGAGAUACAGUUACAGUGGAGAGUAAUAUGACUACUGAGUCAGAUUUGAUUCAAAAUGACACUUCCUCUGAUGCAAAACAGGAAGCAUUAAAAGUAUCUGACAAUGCUGAGUGUGAAGUUCAGGAAGAUACAGACGCAAUUCCCAAGCAAAGUGACACCACCAUCAUUCCUGAAGAUACUCAGAGAGAGGAGGCACACUCAGAAUCCACAGUUAUUCACAAGAGAAAAAUGGGCUCAACUCGUAGACCUCUCAAAGGGAAUAAAGGACAAAGACAAGAACAUAAUGAGAAAGAAAUCUUCAGCUUGGAGGAUGAACCCAGUCCAGAUGAAUCUAGGUAUAUUGCAGUGAGUAUCUGUGACAUUUCAGAAUCACAAACCCUCCCAAAAACUCAUGCAGGGUCCCAGGAAAAUACUGGAGAUGUUGAAGCAGAGGGAGCAGAGGGAGACACAGAACGACACUUAGAAAACAAAACAUUUGACUCAACAGCAUUUGAAGAAGAGAACAAAGAGAACAUCUGUGAAGCUAGUGUUUUAGUCAAAGAAGUUGAGUUUAUUGGAGAUACAGUUACAGUGGAGAGUAAUAUGACUACUGAGUCAGAUUUGAUUCAAAAUGACACUUCCUCUGAUGCAAAACAGGAAGCAUUAAAAGUAUCUGACAAUGCUGAGUGUGAAGUUCAGGAAGAUACAGACGCAAUUCCCAAGCAAAGUGACACCACCAUCAUUAUAUUCAGUAUUCAGAGAGAGGAGGCACACUCAGAAUCCACAGUUAUUCACAAGAGAAAAAUGGGCUCAGAUCUCUCACCUCUCAAAGGGAAAAAAGGACAAAGAAAAGAACAUGAUGAGAAAGAAAUCUUCAUUUUGGAAGAUGAGUCUAGAUAUACAGCAGCGAGUGUCUGUGACAUUUCAGAAUCACAAACCCUCCCAAACACUCAUGCAGGGUCCCAGGAAAAUACUGGAGAUGUUGAAAUAGUGCCAGCAGAGGGAGACACAGAACGACACUUAGAAAACAAAACAUUUGACUCAACAGCAUUUGAAGAAGCAACAGAAGAGAACAUCUGUGAAGCUAGUGUUUUAAUCAAAGAAGUUGAGUUUAUUGGAGAUACAGUUACAGUGGAGAGUAAUAUGACUACUGAGUCAGAUUUGAUUCAAAAUGACACUUCCUCUGAUGCAAAACAGGAAGCAUUAAAAGUAUCUGACAAUGCUGAGUGUGAAGUUCAGGAAGAUACAGACGCAAUUCCCAAGCAAAGUGACACCACCAUCAUUCCUGAAGAUAUUCAGAGAGAGGAGGCACACUCAGAAUUCACAGUUAUUCACAAGAGAAAAAUAGGCUCAACUCGUAGACCUCUCAGAGGGAAACAUGGACAAAGAAAAGAAAAAGAACAUCAUGAUGAAAAUGAGACACCUGACAGUGAAGGUAUGAUCAAUGUAGAGAAAGAAACAAUUAGUUUGGAGGAUGAACCCAGUCUAGACGAAUCUACAUUACAAAGUUUAAAAGAUGGAGCUAAAGAACAGGAGAUGGAAAUAUGCGAGAAGAAUGAUGUUGGUCCUGUUGAAGGGUCUGAAUCCGCUGACCUGCAGUCAUCAUGUAGUUCAGACUUAACAUUUGAGGAAUCCAUUCUAAUAAGUAUCUGUCACAUCACAGAAUCACAAACCCUCAUGAAACUGAAUGAAGAGUACCAGGAAAAUGCUGGAGAUGCUGAAAAAGUGGCAGCAGAGGAAGACAAAGAUUUACAAUUAAAAAUUGAAUCACAGAACAAAAUAUUUGACUCAACAACUAGUGAAGCUGAAGGAACGGAAGAGAACAUCAAUGAUGUUAGUGUGACAUUAGUCAGAGAAGUUGAAGUUAUUGGAGAUACAGGUACAGUGGAGAGUAAUAUGACUACGGAGUCAGAUUUUCUUCAAAUUUCUCCUGAUGCACACAUCGAAGCAUUGAAAAUAUCUGAAAAUGCUGAGGAAAAAGUUUCAGGAGAAACAGACACAAUUCUUAUACAAAGUGACAUCAGCAUCAUUCCUACAGUUUCUCACAGAGAAGAGGUACACUCAAAAUCAAGUCCAGUUAUUCAUAAGAGGAAAAUGGGCUCAACUCGUAGACCUCUCGAAGGGAAUAAAGGACAAAGACAAGAACAUGAUGAGAAAAAAAUCUUCAGUUUGGACGAUGAAUCUAGAUAUACUGCAGUGAGUGUCUGUGACAUUUCAGAAUCACAAACCCUCCCAAACACUCAUGCAGGGUCCCAGGAAAAUACUGGAGAUGUUGAAAUAGUACCAGCAGAGGGAGAAACAGAACGACACUUAGAAAACAAAACAUUUGACCCAACAGCAUUUGAAGGAGAAGCAACAGAAGAGAACAUCUGUGAAGCUAGUGUUUUAGUCAAAGAAGUUGAGUUUAUUGGAGAUACAGUUACAGUGGAGAGUAAUAUGACUACUGAAUCAGAUUUUAUUCAAAAUGACAUUUCCUCUGAUGCAAAACAGGAAGCAUUAAAAGUAUCUGACAAUACUGAGUGUGAAGUUCAGGAAGAUACAGACGCAAUUCCCAAGCAAAGUGACACCACCAUCAUUCCUGAAGAUAUUCAGAGAGAGGAGGCACACUCAGAAUUCACAGUUAUUCACAAGAGAAAAAUAGGCUCAACUCGUAGACCUCUCAGAGGGAAACAUGGACAAAGAAAAGAAAAAGAACAUCAUGAUGAAAAUGAGACACCUGACAGUGAAGGUAUGAUCAAUGUAGAGAAAGAAACAAUUAGUUUGGAGGAUGAACCCAGUCUAGAUGAACCUAGAUAUACUGCAGUGAGUGACAUUUCAGAAUCACAAACCCUCACAAAAUUUCAUGCAGAGUCCCAAGAAGAUUAUAAAGAUGUUGAAAGAGCACUAGUAGGGAGAGACACAGAACCACACUCAGUUCAAACCGAAAUCACAACUCUUAAUUCAGCCACAUUUGAAGGAGAAGGAACAGAAGAGAUCAUCUGUGAAGCUAGCGUUGUAGUCAAAGAAAUUGAGUUUAUUGGAGAUACAGUUACAGUGGAGAGUGAUAUGACUAUUAAGUCAGAUUUCCUUCAAAAUGACAUUUCCACUGAUACAAAAUCAGAAGCAUUGAUAUCUGAAAUUGCUGAGAAUGAAGGAAAAAAAGACACAAUUCCCAAACAAAGUGACGCCAACAUCAUUCCAGAGGUUCCUCACGGAGAGGAGGUACACACAAAAUUGAGUCUUAAUGUUCAGAAGCGAAAAAUGGGCUCAACUCGUAGACCUCUCAAAGGGAAUAAAGGACAAAGAAAAGAACAUGAUGAGAAAGAAAUCUUCAUUUUGGAAGAUGAGUCUAGAUAUACUGCAGCGAGUGUCUGUGACAUUUCAGAAUCACAAACCCUCCCAAAAACUCAUGCAGGGUCCCAGGAAGAUACUGGAAAUGUUGAAAUAGUGCCAGCAGAGGGAGACACAGAACGACACUUAGAAAACAAAACAUUUGACUCAACAGCAUUUGAAGAAGAAGCAGCAGAAGAGAACAUCUGUGAAGCUAGUGUUUUAAUCAAAGAAGUUGAGUUUAUUGGAGAUACAGUUACAGUGGAGAGUAAUAUGACUACUGAGUCAGAUUUGAUUCAAAAUGACACUUCCUCUGAUGCAAAACAGGAAGCAUUAAAAGUAUCUGACAAUGCUGAGUGUGAAGUUCAGGAAGAUACAGACGCAAUUCCCAAGCAAAGUGACACCACCAUCAUUCCUGAAGAUAUUCAGAGAGAGGAGGCACACUCAGAAUUCACAGUUAUUCACAAGAGAAAAAUGGGCUCAACUCGUAGACCUCUCAGAGGGAAACAUGGACAAAGAAAAGAAAAAGAACAUCAUGAUGAAAAUGAGACACCUGACAGUGAAGGUAUGAUCAAUGUAGAGAAAGAAACAAUUAGUUUGGAGGAUGAACCCAGUCUAGACGAAUCUACAUUACAAAGUUUAAAAGAUGGAGCUAAAGAACAGGAGAUGGAAAUAUGCGAGAAGAAUGAUGUUGGUCCUGUUGAAGGGUCUGAAUCCGCUGACCUGCAGUCAUCAUGUAGUUCAGACUUAACAUCUGAGGAAUCCAUUGCAAUAAGUAUCUGUCACAUCACAGAAUCACAAACCCUCAUGAAACUGAAUGAAGAGUCCCAGGAAAAUGCUGGAGAUGCUGAAAAAUUGGCAGCAGAGGAAGACAAAGACUUACAAUUAAAAAUUGAAUCACAGAACAAAAUAUUUGACUCAACAACUAGUGAAGCUGAAGGAACGGAAGAGAACAUCAAUGAUGUUAGUGUGACAUUAGUCAGAGAAGUUGAAGUUAUUGGAGAUACAGGUACAGUGGAGAGUAAUAUGACUACUGAGUCAGAUUUUCUUCAAACUUCUCCUGAUGCACACAUCGAAGCAUUGAAAAUAUCUGAAAAUGCUGAGAAAGAAGUUUCAGGAGAAACAGACACAAUUCUUAAACAAAGUGACAUCAGCAUCAUUCCUAAAGAUUCUCACAGAGAAGAGGCACACUCAAAAUCAAGUCCAGUUAUUCAUAAGAGGAAAAUGGGCUCAACUCGUAGACCUCUCAAAGGGAAUAAAGGACAAAGACAAGAACAUGAUGAGAAAGAAAUCUUCAGCUUGGAGGAUGAACACAGUCCAGAUGAAUCUAGAUAUACUGCAAUGAGUAUCUGUGACAUUUCAGAAUCACAAACCCUCCCAAAAACUCAUGCAGGGUCCCAGGAAAAUACUGGAGAUGUUGAAAUAGUGCCAGCAGAGGGAGACACAGAACAACACUUAGAAAACAAAACAUUUGACUCAACAGCAUUUGAAGGAGAAGCAACAGAAGAGAACAUCUGUGAAGCUUGUGUUUUAGUCAAAGAAGUUGAGUUUAUUGGAGAUACAAUUACAGUGGAGAGUAAUAUGACUACUGAGUCAGAUUUUAUUCAAAAUGACAUUCUGUGA
rnacentral:lncRNA from 1 species